UACGAAGGGGGCUAGCGUUGCUCGGAAUCACUGGGCGUAAAGGGUGCGUAGGCGGGUCUUUAAGUCAGGGGUGAAAUCCUGGAGCUCAACUCCAGAACUGCCUUUGAUACUGAAGAUCUUGAGUUCGGGAGAGGUGAGUGGAACUGCGAGUGUAGAAGUGAAAUUCGUAGAUAUUCGCAAGAACACCAGUGGCGAAGGCGGCUCACUGGCCCGAUACUGACGCUGAGGCACGAAAGCGUGGGAGCAAACAGG
rnacentral:rRNA from 1 species